AUUUUUAAAAUAUGGAUUUAACUUGUUAAUUACGUUGCGAAUCUUUCUUGUGCUUGGUUUGAUGAAUUUUACGCUUUACGUGCCCAUUUCUGCAUAAUCAGUUGCAGUGUUUUCGGGAGCAGGUUGCAGCUAUUUGGCUUCCCACGAGGAAUUAUGUCUGGCAGUGAACUAACCCCAAAUGAAUCGCUGAUUUUAUUCUAUUCGCGAGGGAGACCUGGCGUGAUUUCUACUUGAGGUGAAGGCUGCUCUACUGGUAAGAUCGGUCCAUUUCAAUAUUUAACAUACCGGUGGUAAGAUUAGCUUGUAAGAUUAUGUUAGCAUAGUUUAUUUCGAUGUGCAAAAACGUAUAGGAUAUUGCACAAAUUCGCUUAAUGUCUCUUGAUUAGUACCACAACGCCACUGCCUAGUUUCUACCACAACAGCAGUAAUAAUGAUUCCUAAUGCCAUAUUUUUUUUUCUAAGUUGAGCGCCGACGUCGUUUCAACAUAAAUGAUAAAAUCAAAGAACUUGGCACCUUGCUGCCACGUAACAUGGAAGGAUCCAGCAGUGACAUUAGUGGAAAGGAUGGUAGAGUGAACAAGGGGACGAUCCUUAAAGGUACCGUCGACUACGUCAAAGAGUUGAAGCAAGAGGUUAGCGCUUUGAGGCGGAACGGUGACUUGCUGGUGGCGAUAAAAAAUGAAAAUGUUAUCCUGCAGCAUAAGCUGGCGGUAAUUUAGUUUUAUUUGCAUAUAGAUAUUACCAAAUAACCACAAGGUCCCAUUGAUUUCUGCCAAACGAUUCAGAAGAUUCUGCCAAUUUCAUACUUUAUUGUUAUAUUGUAUAUCUAAUCCAAGUUUAGAGAUUUUCAGCUAAUCCAAAUGUAAGUAGCUGUUCCACUGUUUUGUUGGUAGUUGAACAAAUGCUAACUAACUGCUACUUUGCUUUGCCUCUUCUAUUUUGACAGAAUGGUCGUAGGGAGGAAUUCUGGGAACAAUUGCCAGUAUUAUUGACAAUGAAUUGUUUUAGCCAAACGUCGACCAACAACCUACAUCAAACAAACAGGGUAUCGUGCGUGUUAAAUUCUACCUCUAUGCGGAAAUGUGCGAAAACAAUCUUCAACUAGAAAACCAUGUCAA